UCCCAAUGCGGCUCCCUGGAGCCUGACAGCGAGCAGCGCCCCGGCGGGGCCAAGCAGCUCACUCCUGGAGGCAAAGCAGCACAGGCUGGAGUGGCCGUUGGUGACUGGGUGCUGAGCAUCGAUGGCGAGAAUGCAGGGAGCCUCACACACAUCGAAGCUCAGAACAAGAUCCGGGCCUGUGGGGAGCGCCUCAGCCUGGGCCUCAGCAGGGCCCAACCGGUUCAGAGCAAACCCCAGAAGGCCCCCGGCCCCUGCCGCGGACCCCCCGCGGUACACCUUUGCACCCAGCGUCUCCCUCAACAAGACGGCCCGGCCCUUCGGGGCGCCCCCGCCCGCUGACAACGCCCCGCAGCAGAAUGGACAGCCGCUCCGACCGCUGGUCCCAGAUGCCAGCAAGCAGCGGCUGAUGGAGAACACCGAGGACUGGCGGCCACGGCCUGGGACAGGCCAGUCGCGUUCCUUCCGCAUCCUUGCCCACCUCACAGGCACCGAGUUCAUGCAAGACCCGGAUGAGGAGCACCUGAAGAAAUCAAGCCAGGUGCCCAGGACAGAAGCCCCAGACCCAGCCUCAUCUUCACCCCAGGAGCCCUGGCCUGCAGGCCCUACCACCCCCAGCCCCACCAGCCGCCCACCCUGGGCCGUGGACCCUGCAUUUGCGGAGCGCUAUGCCCCGGACAAAACGGCACAGCCAGCCGGCCACGCCCACCCCACUGCAGAACCGCACCUCCAUCGUGCAGGCGGCCGCGGGAGCGGGCCCAGGAGGGGGUGGCAACAACAGCAAGACUCCUGUGUGUCACCAGUGCCACAAGGUCAUCCGGGGCCGCUACCUGGUGGCGCUGGGUCAGGCAUACCACCCCGAGGAGUUUGUGUGUAGCCAGUGUGGGAAGGUCCUGGAAGAGGGGGGCUUCUUCGAGGAGAAGGGCUCCAUCUUCUGCCCACCGUGCUAUGACGUGCGCUACGCACCCAGCUGCGCCAAGUGCAAGAAGAAGAUUACAGGCGAGAUCAUGCAUGCCCUGAAGAUGACCUGGUAUGUCCACUGCUUCACCUGCGCCGCCUGCAAGACGCCCAUCCGGAACAGGGCCUUCUACAUGGAGGAGGGCCCUACUGCGAGCGAGACUAUGAGAAGAUGUUUGGCACGAAAUGUCGUGGCUGUGACUUCAAGAUCGACGCCGGGGACCGCUUCCUGGAGGCGCUGGGCUUCAGCUGGCAUGACACGUGCUUUGUCUGUGCGAUAUGUCAGAUUAACCUUGAAGGAAAGACCUUCUACUCCAAGAAGGACAAGCCCCUCUGCAAGAGCCACGCCUUCUCCCAUGUAUGAGCCCCUUCUGCCCAUGGCUGCCAUGGCUGCCCCUAGCCUGAGGGGCCUGGAGUCAUGGCCUGGCAUUUCUGGGUAGGGCCAGCAACGGUUGCCUUAACCCUGGCUCCUGGCCCGAGCCUGGGGUUCCUUGGGCCCUGCCUCACCCCCCUUAUCCUUGCAUCCCACUCCCUUCACCACCACAGCACACUGGUGCUGGCAACACUGGCCCCCUUUCACCUCCAGUGCCACAAUAAACCUGUGCUCAGCUGUGAAAAAAAAAAAAAAAAAAAUUU